UACGGAGGAUCCAAGCGUUAUCCGGAUUUAUUGGGUUUAAAGGGUGCGUAGGUGGCUUAUUAAGUCAGGGGUGAAAGACGGUAGCUUAACUAUCGCAGUGCCUUUGAUACUGAUGAGCUUGAAUGUACUAGAGGUAGGCGGAAUGUGACAAGUAGCGGUGAAAUGCAUAGAUAUGACUUAGAACACCAAUUGCGAAGGCAGCUUGCUAAACAAAUAUUGACGCUGAGGCACGAAAGCGUGGGGGGAUCAAAACAGG
rnacentral:rRNA from 1 species